GCCUGCCCUAAGCUUGGAGCGCGGAAAGAGCUGGUUCCUGCAGGAUCUGUUCAGCGGCUGAGCUGGGAGCCCGCUUUCUCUGCGUUAAGAGUCUAUUGAUGGAGAGGAUGCCUAGAACCUGGAAGAUGGAGCCAUCGGAGAGAAGCAGACUGUAUCUGAAUGGCCAUGGGGAGCAGAACGCCCCCCGACCAACCCUAACUCUAAGAAAAUAUAACAGGACAGCCUGACUUAUCAGUGUAACAAAUAUUUCUGUCAGCCUUCAGAGAACAUGGGUUUCAGGUGUACCGUAUAGUGAUUCAACACUUCUAUACAACACCCAGUGCUCAUCACAACAGGUAUCUUUCUUGAUCCCCGUCACCUGUU